GGUCGCAAUCUUGGCGCUAGUAAAAAUAAAUGCCUCUUUCGUGAGUGCUCUUGUCUUCGUAGUGAAGUGUGUAGUUAAAUUAGAUGACUAUUUUCGAUUGUCUUCACACGGAGCUAUGUUAACUUUUUAAAAAUGUCUAAAAAUUUUGUAAAUUAAACCAAGCCGAAAAUCAUUAUAAAAUGUCCGAUACUUAUUCGUUGUAAGAGUACUUCAGCUGAUUUUAACUGAUAGCUAAUGAUGAGCGGUGCCUGUGUAAUGAUCGUUAGCCGGCGUGACCUCCUGUACCACAAACCGUAUUUUCCUAAUCCUACAGCAUAAGAAUCUUGAUGCUAUCCACAUUUAAGGCACCUGGCCGGAAGACGUCAAUAAUGCUUCUUCUGGUCAACUUAUUAAAUUUUUAGGAAGAUUAAUCAUGCUUAGCAUGCCCGCACGAAGAGAUCUACCGAGAUGCGCUAUGAGGUACUACAAAACCCUGCCGCUGCAGUCGUUUGUUACAUUGCAUUUAAUUUUUUAAUAUAUCUUUUGUUUUCUU